UCUCCUGUAGCUCAGUGGUAGAGCGCCCGACCGUUGUGCGGAAGGUCAUAGGUUCGACUCCUGUUGGGAGAA
rnacentral:tRNA from 1 species